rnacentral:rRNA from 1 species
UACGGGGGGUGCGAGCGUUAAUCGGAAUUACUGGGCGUAAAGGGUUCGUAGGUGGUAUGUUAAGUCAGAUGUGAAAGCCCAGGGCUCAACCUUGGAACUGCAUUUGAUACUGGCAAACUAGAGUAUGGUAGAGGAAUGGGGAAUUUCCGGUGUAGCGGUGAAAUGCGUAGAGAUCGGAAGGAACACCAAUGGCGAAGGCAACAUUCUGGACCAAUACUGACACUGAGGGACGAAGGCUAGGGUAGCGAAA